AGUUUCCAUGUAAGUUUUAAACAGGGUCCUCAGACAGUGAGAGGGUGAGGACAGAAAACCAGGAAAAUCUGCAUUUCAGCAAACAGAGGAAUUCUAAAGCAGUCUGGAUGUGUCCUUUAUCCACAUUGUUGCUCCUCAUGCCGUGCUUCGGAGAAUAUCAGCUAUACAGAGACCCCUGCCUCAUUCAGAGCACAGAAUGGAAGCAGAAGGGGAAGAAUUAAGAUUGUACAGGAAUGAAACUGUUGACCUUAAAAAUCUUCUAUAUUGUUUUUAAAUG